CGGGAUCAGAUUCAUCAAGUAGGUUAUUAUGUUGAUGUUGAUACAACAGACAGGAGGAUCCAAAAGAAGGUGGCCUUUGUCUUAUGCAUAACCUGAUGUGUCAUACACAUGACGUGAAUGGGGUUUCAUCUGCAGUGCACAUGCAACUGGUUGUAGGUGAUCAUUCCUACUAGUAUUGAAUUGACUGUAAUGAUGGUUGUCUUUAAAUAAUCCCAGAAAGUUCAGUGCAUGAACUCUCUCAGAUGUUUGUCCAAGAGCUGGCUUUGAAGCGAAUAAUAGCAAAAAAUGCUCUGAACCAUGAGUGGUUUAGUGAGGUCUCUCUACCCAAAUUAAAAGAUUUUAUGCCUACAGUUCCUGUUUAACAUGCCCAAAACAG